CGCACAUUGCGCCCGCCAGUAUUCUGGCGGGCAUGCCUGUUCGAGCAUCAUUUCAACCCUCAAGGAUCCUUCGGGACCCUUGGUGUUGGGGAUCAGCCCUAGCCUCCGGGCGGGCUGUCCCUGAAUUUUAGUGGCGGUCUAGCUGUCGUCUCCCUUGCGUAGUACAUACCUCGCUCUGGAAGCCCAGCCUGGCCACGCCGUAAAACCCCCUAUUUUUUUUUUGGUUGAUCUCGAAUCAGGUAGGAAUACCCGCUGAACUUAA
rnacentral:misc_RNA from 1 species